rnacentral:rRNA from 1 species
ACGAACGCUGGCGGCGUGCCUAAUACAUGCAAGUAGAACGCUGAAGGAGGAGCUUGCUUCUCUGGAUGAGUUGCGAACGGGUGAGUAACGCGUAGGUAACCUGCCUGGUAGCGGGGGAUAACUAUUGGAAACGAUAGCUAAUACCGCAUAACAGUAGAUAUCGCAUGAUAUCUACUUGAAAGGUGCAAUUGCAUCACUACCAGAUGGACCUGCGUUGUAUUAGCUAGUUGGUGAGGUAACGGCUCACCAAGGCGACGAUACAUAGCCGACCUGAGAGGGUGAUCGGCCACACUGGGACUGAGACACGGCCCAGACUCCUACGGGAGGCAGCAGUAGGGAAUCUUCGGCAAUGGACGGAAGUCUGACCGAGCAACGCCGCGUGAGUGAAGAAGGUUUUCGGAUCGUAAAGCUCUGUUGUAAGAGAAGAACGAGUGUGAGAGUGGAAAGUUCACACUGUGACGGUAGCUUACCAGAAAGGGACGGCUAACUACGUG